rnacentral:rRNA from 1 species
CAGUCGCCGCGGGAAUACGGAGGAUCCAAGCGUUAUCCGGAAUCAUUGGGUUUAAAGGGUCCGUAGGCGGUCUUGUAAGUCAGUGGUGAAAGCCCAUCGCUCAACGGUGGAACGGCCAUUGAUACUGCAGGACUUGAAUUAUUGGGAAGUAACUAGAAUAUGUAGUGUAGCGGUGAAAUGCUUAGAGAUUACAUGGAAUACCAAUUGCGAAGGCAGGUUACUACCAAUUGAUUGACGCUGAUGGACGAAAGCGUGGGUAGCGAACAGGAUUAGAUACCCGCGUAGUCCCUGUCUCUUAUAA